rnacentral:rRNA from 1 species
GAUGAACGCUAGCUACAGACUUAACACAUGCAAGUCGAGGGGAAACGAUAUUGGAAGCUUGCUUCUGAUAGGCGUCGACCGGCGCACGGGUGAGUAACGCGUAUCCAACCUUCCGUACACUCAGGGAUAGCCUUUCGAAAGAAAGAUUAAUACCUGAUGGUAUGAUGAGAUUGCAUGAUAGCAUCAUUAAAGAUUUAUCGGUGUACGAUGGGGAUGCGUUCCAUUAGGUAGUAGGCGGGGUAACGGCCCACCUAGCCGACGAUGGAUAGGGGUUCUGAGAGGAAGGUCCCCCACAUUGGAACUGAGACACGGUCCAAACUCCUACGGGAGGCAGCAGUGAGGAAUAUUGGUCAAUGGACGAGAGUCUGAACCAGCCAAGUAGCGUGAAGGAUGAAGGUCCUACGGAUUGUAAAACUUCUUUUAAUAAGGGAAUAAACCCUCCCACGUGUGGGAGCUUGUAUGUACCUUAUGAAUAAGCAUCGGCUAACUCCGUGCCAGCAGCCG